UACUAGAGUAGCACUCGCAUAUCAAUAAGCGGAGGAAAAGAAACUAACAAGGAUUCCCCUAGUAACGGCGAGUGAAGCGGGAAGAGCUCAAAUUUGAAAUCUUAAAGGGUUUCCCUUUACGAAUUGUAGUUUAAAGAAGUGUUUUCUGUUGAGGUUUUGGUAAAAGUUCUUUGGAAUAGGACAUCAUAGAGGGUGAGAAUCCCGUAUUUGACCUUUACUUUCAACUUUGUGAUACACUUUCAAAGAGUCGGAUUGUUUGGGAAUGCAGUCCAAAAUGGGUGGUAAAUCUCAUCUAAAGCUAAAUAUUGGCGAGAGACCGAUAGCGAACAAGUACCGUGAGGGAAAGAUGAAAAGAACUUUGAAAAGAGAGUUAAACAGUACGUGAAAUUGUCAAAAGGGAAGCGUUUGACACCAGUGUUGUUUUUCUGAAAAUCAAUUAAAGAACUGUUUAUGCUAAGUUGUUUAGACUUUAUCAGCUAACUGUUUAGUUUUGAGCUUUUCUUUAAUGCACUUUUCAGUUAACAAGUCAACAUCAAUUUCUUUUGCUGUAAAAAAGCUUGAGGAAGGUGGCUUGAGAUUCGUCUUAAGUGUUUAUAGCCUCUUGCCUAUGCAGUCGGAGAGAUUGAGGUCCGCAGCGUAGAUCCUUCGGGGCUAAAUGCAUUUGUGCUAAGUUAUAGCAUUUAUAGACAACUUGUUGACUAUGAUUUGUCUUGUAGCUUACUCGCUUAUGUUAUUUUACCUACGCUUAGGAUGUUGAUAUCGCGCUCUCACU
rnacentral:rRNA from 1 species